rnacentral:rRNA from 1 species
AUUGAACGCUGGCGGCAGGCCUAACACAUGCAAGUCGAGCGUGCGGCGGACGGGUGAGUAUUGUCCGGGAACCUCCCUGCUGGAGGGGGAUAACAACUGGAAACGGUAGCUAAUACCGCAUACCAUCUGAUUUGCCCAGAUGGGAUUAGCUGGUGGGUGGGGUAACGGCCCACCUAGGCGACGAUCCCUAGCGGGUCUGAGAGGAUGACCAGCCACACUGGAACUGAGAAACGGUCCAGACUCCUACGGGAGGCAGCAGUGGGGAAUAUUGCACAAUGGGCGCAAGCCUGAUGCAGCCAGGCCGCGUGUGUGAAGAAGGCCUUCGGGUUGUAAAGCACUUUCAGCGGGGAGGCGUUACCCGCAGAAGAAGCACCGGCUAACUCCGUGCCAGCAGCCGCGGUAAUAC